GACGAACGCUGGCGGCGUGCUUAACACAUGCAAGUCGAACGGAGAGGCGCUUCUUUUGUUGGUGGCUCUGGUGGCGAACGGAUGGGGAGCACGUGACUAGCCUGCCCUGGACUUUGGGUUAACUUCAGGGAACGGGGGCGUGUAUCGGAUGGGAUCUCCUGCGUCUGGGGGGUGGUGGGAAAGGGUCGGCGGUUGUGUAUGGACUCGCGGGUUUUCAGCUUGUUGGGGGGGUAGUUGCGUACGAAGGCUUUGACGGGUGGACGGGCUGAGAGGGUGACCGGCAAGAUUGGGACUGAUAUACGGCGCAGCAUCGUACGGGAGGGAGCAGUGGGGAAUAUUGUACAAUGGGCGGAACGCUGAUGCAGUAAAGCCGCGUGCGGUAUGACGCUCUUUGGGUUGUAAACCGCUUUCGCCUGUGAUGAAGCGUGAGUGACGGUAAUGGGUAAAGAAGCACCGGCUAACUACGUG
rnacentral:rRNA from 1 species